AGGGCUUCAAGGCUAAGGACACCAAUAAGGAAUCAAUCUGAAGAAGGCAGGUCGAUCAAGGAAAAGUGCAAGUACAUGAGAAUGUCACAACAUUCUACUAUAAAAAGGAAGAAAGCAGUGAGUGGUUGAAGCCCGAGUCAAUCUGUCCUAUCAACAUGGACACGGUCAUGUCAAGGAGCGCAGAGCCUCAAACCCAUGGAGGAAUGGAAGAGCCUUCUCCUUGCAGUGACGUUGAAAUGGAAAUGUUCACCAUGGUUCUCUCCCCCAAUCCAGAGAUUGAUGGCUGUAUCCAGAGACUGCCCCCUUAGGAGAAAUCACUUCUAUGGUGACUAGCUAAACUUGUUUCACUCAUUCAACUGUAUCUGAU
rnacentral:lncRNA from 1 species